rnacentral:lncRNA from 1 species
CAACAACCCUAAAAGAUGGUAAAAGGAUCAUUAACAACAUUUAACCAAUGAAGACACUGAAACUUAGAAAGGUUUAGGUGUAGUGAUCUCCACCAGAGAAGAGUUUGAGCCAUGGCCACCCUUGAGUCCAGAUUGCAGAUAUAGUCCCUGAUCUGGAGUGAUGACCUGAGAUCCAACCUCCUUUUCCAUUAUCUGCAGAUGUGAAUUCUAUUGGUAUGCCCAAAGAAUUGAGGAAAAUUAAGCUCAAAGAAUUGAAGAGAUAUGCCUAUGGUUGCACAGGUAUCAAGAAGCACAGCUGGAUUCAAACCCAGAUUCCCCCAGAUGCAUGUUCAUUGAAUUGUAAAUCUUUCAGUCAUGAAAGUAAUUCUUCCUGAAUUUGAUGCCACCAUCUGAAUAUGAAUUCCAAGUCAGCAGGAGUCUGAUGAAUACUGAGGGUUUGUCAUCAUGGCUCAGGUCUGCAUCAUUGGACUCAGGCAUCUCAAACUGAAAUUAUCUAAUUAAAUUUAUUCCAUUCUUAAGAUAAAACCUAUUAUAAGAUCCAUGUCUUACUGACUUGAAUGGCUUGUUUUUUCCUUCAUUUUUCUUAUGAGUUCAUCUGAACAAUCUCUACUAGAAUUGGGGAAUGGACUGUUUCACACGGGAAGGAAUCAAGAUUCCCAAUGAACCUUUUUAGAUACCAAGCACUGCCCAGAACAAUCCAGACUAAAACCUGGCAGUGUGACAAUCCACACAGAGAUGUGGAUAUGUAAUGAUACCCCCCAGAACCUUGGCAUGAAAUCAUCCCUGCCAGAAUCUGUGUGGGAAUGAUCCCUACCAGAACCUAGGCAUUGUCCACAUGGACUCCAACUAAGUUUCUCAGAACAGAUUCAGUGGGGGCAACAACUGUUUG